rnacentral:rRNA from 1 species
UGGGGAAUCUUGCGCAAUGGCCGAAAGGCUGACGCAGCGACGCCGCGUGCGGGAGGAAGCCCUUCGGGGUGUAAACCGCUGUCAGGGGGGAAGAAACCCAAGGGUUCGAACAGGGCCUUUGGCUGACGGUACCCCAGAGGAAGCGCCGGCUAACUACGUGCCAGCAGCCGCGGUAAUACGUAGGGUGCAAGCGUUAAUCGGAAUUACUGGGCGUAAAGCGUGCGUAGGCGGUUCGGAAAGAAAGAUGUGAAAUCCCAGGGCUCAACCUUGGAACUGCAUUUUUUAACUACCGGGCUAGAGUGUGUCAGAGGGGGGUUGGAAUUCCGCGUGUAGCGGUGAAAUGCGCAGAUAUCAGGAGGAACACCGGUGGCGAAGGCGGCUUGCUGGGCCUGUCCUGACGCUGAGGAGCGAAAGCGUGGGGAGCGAACAGGAUUAGAUACCC